GUGCUCGCUUCAGCAGCACAUAUACUAAAAUUGGAAUGAUACAGAGAAGAUUAGCAUGGCCCCUGCACAAGAUGACACCCAAAAGAAACAGCUGUGUCCUGGCUCA
ensembl:snRNA U6 U6 spliceosomal RNA